rnacentral:sRNA from 12 species
GCUUUCAACAUCCCCGUUUCAGGAUGAGCCCGAGGGCGCUGCAAGGCGCACGCGUUCGUGCCUGGAGCUGAAAGC